GGGCCAUAGCUCAGUGGCAGAACAUCUGCUUUUCAUGCAGAAGGUCCCAGUUUCAAACCCCAGCAUCUCCA